AUGUCGACACCGAGUUCGCCGCAGGAAGAAGUGCCGAGUUCGCCGGAGGUAGAAGAAGCGCCGAGUUCGCCGAAGGUAGAAGAACAGCCGUCGAGCUGUCCAAUGUCCCCUGCGUCGGCUACAGCAGAAGACCUUAAGAUCAGCGAUGAACAUACGUCGAGCCGUCCAAUAUUUCCUGUGGCAGCAACACCAGAGAAAAUAGAUGACAUCACUGAACUGAACAUUGCAGAGGAUUUUGAUAACCGACCUUCCAAAAAGGCAAAAUUUUCUGAAUCAGGUGUUCUGGAACCAUCACCUAUGUCACCAACUAUGAAAACAUCUUCUCCAGGUUCAGAGUGUUUUGAAUCGAUUGUGCCGGAAUCAGAUAAUCAGAUGAAUCAUGAUACACUACCAUCACCAUCCCCAUCUAGGUCGACAAUAUCUCAUGUUUUUCCAUUGCAUGAUGUUAAGGAACCAGAUUCACAUAAAGAGAUCAAAGUUGAUGAGACAUAUGAUUAUCUCCCACAAGACUAUACAUUGACCGACCAUGAUCUAUGUGCUCAUAUAGCAAUAGAAUCAUCUUUGAGAAAACAGUUGCUUGUUCAGAUAGAUGGAAGUUGUGUCUUGCAAAAUCAAUUGAUGUGCCUGCUAAAUGAAAAGGAGUGGGUAAAUGAUGAUGUGAUCAAUGCAUAUAUAUGUUGUAUGAAGGACCAAAUACAUGUCCAGAAUGAUAAUAAAGUAUAUUUUGAGAGUCCAUUUGUUACCUCACUAUUUAAACGAGAUGGCGAACAUGGAAUACAAAAAGAUAGUGCCUUCAUGACAAAGACCGUCAUUGAAUAUAUGCAACAUGACAUGAUUAAACUUCCAAUAAAUGCUCACAACACACAUUGGUAUCUAGCUGUUGUGAAUACAAAAAAACGUGAGGUUCAAGUAUUGGACUCAUUGUGCUGGAACUUUGACCGUGAUGAUCUCGCUCAUACGCUACGAGGAGUACAAUUUCAUUUGGACCUUCUUAAGAGUCAAAACUUGGUAAAAGACAAUUGGAAAGACAUUGAUCUCACCGAAUGGAAGAUCACGGAACAAUUACAAAAGGCAAUUCAAGAGGACAGUUAUUCAUGUGGUUCGUUUAUGGUCAAAUUUAUGGAAUAUUUCACUGGAUGUGCACUAUCUUACCCAAUUGCACAGGAAAUGAUUAAAUCUUUUAGGUUUAAGUUAGCCAGCAUGCUAUUAUGUUGGAAAACAAACACUGCAGGAAGGUCUACAAUCGUUGAAGAAAGUAACGAUGACACUAAUGGAGAUCCUGAUGAUGUUCAAAUAUUAGAAAGCCUAGAUGAUAUAAAAAAAAUGAAGCAAAAAAUCCCAUUAUCUGUUGAAAAUAAAUACAGAUCACUAAUAUCUAUUCUUUCUAAUAUGAGCGUACAUGAAUUAACAGCUGGACUCUGUAGCUUCAUUAAAUCAAUCAAUUACACUGAGAUUUUAGAGAAAGUAUGGAUCCAAAGUUCAAAGCCAUAUCCAAUUAGCUUGUCUCUCAGAAAACUACAAGGAAUGCUAAAGGAUGAUUUACCCAUGGACAAAGAUUGCUUUAAUUUGAUCGUACAGAAGAUUAUGUUUGAUGAUAUCCAAACAUCACAAAAGAAAAAUCAAUUGAUAGCAAAGCAUUAUCUAGACAUGAAAUUUUGGAUGACUACUGAUUUUGGAAGGCACCCAGAUUUCCGUAAAAAGUUAGAUGUGGAGCAACUAGCAAAUUCUGUUCGUAGUUGGCCUGGUAUCAAAUAUAAUGUUUCAACAUGUAAAUCGAUCCAUAUUCUAGUACAAUCCAUUGAUGAAUUCAUUUUAUUCACAUUGGACCAAGAUACAAGAACAGUGUACAUUUUGGACCCUACUCCUAUUAAUCCAAUGUACCAAUACAACCCACUUGCAAAAUAUUUAAAAAAAAUUAUAUGGAUUUCCGAACACUUACGGAAAGCAAUGUCAAAAGCAUGCCCUGGGUCUAGAUGGAACGAGGAUAUUCUCCUAUGGCAUCAUAAAAUCCUAGAUGAUAUUCCAGUUUACAACAGGGAAUUGUCUGGUUAUCUUGUUCCCCUAUUCAUGUCCACAUGGGAAGAUGAAAGACCACAUUUGCCAUUUUUAAAGGAUGGAAUGAACUCAGAAAACUAA
rnacentral:rRNA from 1 species